rnacentral:rRNA from 1 species
AGAGUUUGAUCCUGGCUCAGAACGUACGCUGGCGGCACGCCUAAUACAUGCAAGUCGAACGAAGUAGCAAUACUUAGUGGCAGACGGGUGAGUAACAUGUAGGUAUCUACCCUUUGGCCUGGAAUAACACGAGGAAACUUGUGCUAAUACCGGAUAAGUCUUUACGGAGAAAGCUUUAUGCACCAUUGGAUGAGCCUGCACUUGAUUAGUUUGUUGGUGGGGUAAUGGCCUACCAAGACAAUGAUCAAUAGCUGAUUUGAGAGGAUGAUCAGCCACAUUGGGACUGAGACACGGCCCAAACUCCUACGGGAGGCAGCAGUAGGGAAUCUUGCACAAUGGAGGAAACUCUGAUGCAGCGAUGCCGCGUGAGUGAAGAAGGCCUUUGGGUUGUAAAGCUCUUUCGUCGGGGAAGAAAAUGACUGUACCCGAAUAAGAAGGUCCGGCUAACUUCGUGCCAGCAGCCGCGGUAAUACGAAGGGACCUAGCGUAGUUCGGAAUUACUGGGCUUAAAGAGUUCGUAGGUGGUUGAAAAAGUUGGUGGUGAAAUCCCAGAGCUUAACUCUGGAACUGCCAUCAAAACUUUUCAGCUAGAGUAUGAUAGAGGAAAGUAGAAUUUCUAGUGUAGAGGUGAAAUUCGUAGAUAUUAGAAAGAAUACCGAUUGCGAAGGCAGCUUUCUGGAUCAUUACUGACACUGAGGAACGAAAGCAUGGGUAGCGAAGAGGAUUAGAUACCCUCGUAGUCCAUGCCGUAAACGAUGUGUGUUAGACGUUGGAAAUUUAUUUUCAGUGUCGCAGCGAAAGCAAUAAACACACCGCCUGGGGAGUACGACCGCAAGGUUAAAACUCAAAUGAAUUGACGGGGACCCGCACAAGUAGUGGAGCAUGUGGUUUAAUUCGAAGAUACGCGCAGAACCUUACCAACACUUGACAUGUUCGUCGCGACUUUAAGAGAUUAAAGUUUUCGGUUCGGCCGGACGAAACACAGGUGCUGCAUGGCUGUCGUCAGCUCGUGUCGUGAGAUGUUGGGUUAAGUCCCGCAACGAGCGCAACCCUCACUUUUAGUUGCCAUCAUUAAGUUGGGCACUCUGAAAGAACUGCCAGUGAUAAGCUGGAGGAAGGUGGGGAUGACGUCAAGUCCUCAUGGCCCUUACGUGUUGGGCUACACACGUGCUACAAUGAUAUCUACAACAGGAAGCAAAACGGCAACGUUAAGCAAAUCCCAAAAAGAUAUCUCAGUUCGGAUUGCACUCUGCAACUCGAGUGCAUGAAGCUGGAAUUACUAGUAAUCGUGGAUCAGCGUGCCACGGUGAAUGCGUUCCCGGGUCUUGUACACACCGCCCGUCACACCAUGGGAGUUGGUUCUACCUUAAGGCAAGGCUUUAAACCCUUGACCACGGUAUAGUCAGCGACUGGGGUGAAGUCGUAACAAGGUAACC